AUUAAAACUGUCAGUUCCUAAUGGUAAAAAAUUAAAAGGGAUUUCGAAUUUAUAGUUUACACUACAGAUUAUCGAUUAUAAUGUGAACAUUGUAUAUGAUCUGUGUUUACACUCUAUAGUUCUUACGACGAUUGCGUCAAUACCUACGUUUUGUAUUUUACCUAAGUACCACUUUAUGAAUGUUAUGGACUACAGUUGUCUUCAAAUGUAUUAUAUGUAUCUGCAACGCAAUUCAUUAGUAUUUAAAAUAAUGAAUAUUCAGUUAUCACAUGAUCGAAAUCUAAACGAAUCGCCUCACUAAUACGAUCUGAUUCAGGACCGCACCGUCCUCGAGUGGCAAAGAAAGGCAUUAGUAAGUUUUUGGAACAACAUGCAACCAUCGAACACUGGCAAGGAAAACUUAUUGCGUGCUGGCAGGACACCUGAGGACAUGCUCUGUAGGAUGGAGGGAGAAACUUCAAAAACUAAACAGAAGUUUUACGAUACUAUAGAAAGAGUUAUACAUCUUCUGGUGCUAAAAUAGAUUCAUCUUUGAAUUUAUAAUACUUUUUUGAAUAGCCAACUUCUGAAGGUAGCUGUGUGUGUGAAAAAAUUUGGAAGCGAUUGCAUUAAUAAAAAAGUUUUGGAAGAUCAUCGACAAACAAAAACAGAGGUUACUGCUUUAGGAAAUCUGAAUUCGUCUUCAAAGCAAUUGCUUAAUAUGAAAGAAAUUCUGAGCAAAUUUUAAUGU